CGCAUUCUUUACAUAGUUCAUCUUUUCUUACUGCCGUGUUUGGGAAUGUUAUUUUACUAUGUAUCCCAUCAGGAUUAAUGCGUGUGUUUGUUCAGUCUCAUUCCUUUCCGUUGAUCUCAGCUUCUAUUUUUGUUUCUGCUCUUAGUCACUGCCCAGCAGCGCCAAAGGAACAUCCCGCCCCCUGCAGGCAGCUGGUGUCCCCACAACCUGGGAAGCCUGGGGCAGGGCCUCAGGGGACUCCUGGUGUUAGUCCUCCGAGCCCGGGUGGACGUGUCGCUCUGUCCCUGCGGGAGGAUUCGGGGCCCCUUUGACAGGCCUCCUUCUAUGCCGGUUUCCUGGGGCCUCGAGCUUCCUGGGUUCCACGUCUCUAGUAACCAGUAGAGACGGGCCUUUACCCUGCCGUUGGGUGGGGACUGUCCCCUUCUGGGCUCUUCCUUUCGGGCCUUUCCACCUCUCCGACCCCAGGGCAUUCGCCCCACCACGUUGCCGGCACAGUGCUGGCUCCGCGGCCCGCGGUUCUGGCAGUCAGCGCGGAAUGCCAUGGCACCGAGCCUCUGUGUCUAGAUGAGUUCUGGGCGCUGAUUUUCCAGGUCACUCGGAAGCUGCUCUCUGGGCCCGCCUGUUUCCCUUCCCUUUGCCUCCUUGUCCCGCUUCCCUCGCAGUAUACCACUCACUGUACCCCUCCUAAAAAGGACCACUGCAGGAAGCGUUAUUGAAGCAGACACGGUUCAAACACGAAAAACAAACUCUUCUUUAUUCAACAGAUGUGCACGAAUCUAUUGUGUGUUAGAUACGGGUAAGUUUCUGAUAAGUCGUGCACUGAGCCAGUCCGGGCUCCUAGAACCGCGUUUACGUGCCGAAGUCUCAAUCAGAUUAAGAGCGUCUGGGGAGAGCGGGGCGGGGAUAGAAGGAGGUGUUGGGGCUAGGGGUAGGACUGUUCUGGAGGCGUGGGUAAGGGGGAGUGGGCUGUGCUGUGCGCCCCUCCCCUCGCUAUCUCCCCAUUCAUCCGCAGACCCGGGGCCCCACGCGCCGCUCCUGGGCAGGGCCGUGCACCCGGAAGGCGCCGAGGCGCGCCCAGCAGAGGGAGCAUGCGGGCAGGGCAUUCCGCGGGUACCCGCGGAGCAGGACGGCCACCCACGCCGGGGCCCCUGGGGCUCCACCCAGGACGCACACCCGGAGAGACCCAAUGACUGCGUUUCGCACCUGGGCGCAAGCUGGUUACUGGGCACGCGCUGACAACCCACAUCUGGAAAACCCGGUCCUAACUGGAGAAUAAAACUUAAAUGCACGUGAACUCACCGGCAGCUGAACAUUUCCGUGAGAAAACCCCUAAAAGCCGGCACCGGCUCCGGUGGGGCCACAGAGUCUCUGGAGCGAGGCUCUCUCCAAUGCCUGGGCCCUGGGACCGAGCAACUGUCCCAGUAGAAUCCCUUUCGGGCUUUGUUGCAGGGAUAGGGGAUUCUUUUUAACGUGUUCCUUGGCUUGCACAGGCAUUUACUGGUCCUCUGGAGAUCACAUAUAACAGGAAGUCUCUAAAUUCAGUAUUUCUUUUAAAUGAAGUUGUAUUUAUUCAUCACAUUUCUAUCAGUAGACUUGAAAAACAGCGUACACGUUUUAUACAUUGUAUGUAGGACAUUGUAUUUAUUCAGGUCCAUCAGAGAGUCUUAAUCUGGGGUAUGGGGACAACUAGGAGUGGAUAGGAUUCAGGGAGCCCAUGAAACUCCUGAGAUUGUUUCAUAUUUUAGGGCAAAUGUGCAAUUUUUCUGGGAAGAAGUUCUGUCGUUUUUAUGAUUACCAGGGUUCAUAACCUUAGUUUGGUUAAGAAAUGCUGGUCUAAGGUCAAUGCUCAGCAGGUUUAUGGAUUCAGAACUCAUUGCACUAGCACUGAAGCCCCCUUGAGGGCCCGAAGCCCCCAUUCUGGACCCCUGCAGGAGAAUUUGGUUCUCCAGUGAAGGUCACUAGAGCCUGGACUUGAUUUUCUCUCCCUACAGGAAGGCCCCCCAAAACUCCAAGGGGCACAGUUGUUUUCGUUUUAAGGCCAUAUUAGGUUCAAGUAGAUUUACUUCUGCAUUUCUCUGUCUUAAAUAGAAAUAACUCUCUGGUGGGUAUUUUCCCCUGGGUUAGUCAUGCAAAUACUCUAUGCUUCACUUACUACCCAUUUCAACCUCUGGGACAGCCCUUCUGCACAGACCUGGCCCAGGACCCUUCUGCCAACCACACAUGGGAGUCUCUGGGGAACUUGGGUGCUGACUUCACUGGGCUGGGAUUUUCCUCAACCAGUGUGCCCAGGGAGUUAAAACGUGUUCCUUUUAUGGAAAAAAAGAGUAUAAGUUUUUUGUUUGUUUGUUUGUUUGUUUUUACUUGUGAGGAAUAAAAGAUUACAAAACUACCCAUAAUCCCCUUAAUAGGCCUAACACAAUAACCAAUUUUGUUUUAAAUCUCA
rnacentral:lncRNA from 10 species